AGCGGCGAACGGGUGAGUAACACGUGGGUAUCUGCCCUGCACUCUGGGAUAAGCCUGGGAAACUGGGUCUAAUACCGGAUAUGGCUUCAUGGUGAAAGAUUUAUCGGUGCAGGAUGGGCCCGCGGCCUAUCAGCUUGUUGGUGGGGUAAUGGCCUACCAAGGCGACGACGGGUAGCCGACCUGAGAGGGUGACCGGCCACACUGGGACUGAGACACGGCCCAGACUCCUACGGGAGGCAGCAGUGGGGAAUAUUGCACAAUGGGCGGAAGCCUGAUGCAGCGACGCCGCGUGAGGGAUGAAGGCCUUCGGGUUGUAAACCUCUUUCAGCAGGGACGAAGCGUGAGUGACGGUACCUGCAGAAGAAGCACCGGCUAACUACGUGCCAGCAGCCGCGGUAAUACGUAGGGUGCGAGCGUUGUCCGGAAUUACUGGGCGUAAAGAGUUCGUAGGCGGUUUGUCGCGUCGUUUGUGAAAACCCGGGGCUCAACUUCGGGCUUGCAGGCGAUACGGGCAGACUUGAGUGUUUCAGGGGAGACUGGAAUUCCUGGUGUAGCGGUGAAAUGCGCAGAUAUCAGAGGAACACCGGUGGCGAAUGCGGGUCUCUGGGAACAACUGACGCUGAGGACGAAGCGUGGGUAGCAACAGGAUUAGAUACCUGGUAGUCACGUCGA
rnacentral:rRNA from 1 species